rnacentral:rRNA from 1 species
UACGUAGGGUGCGAGCGUUGUCCGGAAUUAUUGGGCGUAAAGAGCUCGUAGGCGGUUUGUCACGUCUGCUGUGAAAUCCCGAGGCUCAACCUCGGGCCUGCAGCGGGUACGGGCAGACUGGAGUGCGGUAGGGGAGAAUGGAAUUCCUGGUGUAGCGGUGGAAUGCGCAGAUAUCAGGAGGAACACCGAUGGCGAAGGCAGUUCUCUGGACCGAGACUGACGCUGAGGCGCGAAAGCGUGGGGAGCAAACAGG